rnacentral:lncRNA from 1 species
GAGAAGUAAUGGAGAAGGCUAAUUAUCCUUUGCUAGUUUUGUUUUGGUUCAGAUAACUAGUCUAUUUUAAUUUUAUGGGCACAAUGAUAGUGUUUCUCUCAAGAAGGCAGGUCAGUAAUCUUAAAAAUCAAAUUUGUGCACUGCCUUGAGUCAAGUGUCUGAUGUUAAUUUUGCAUAGUCUUACUCUGGACUCCAUCUUAUUUAUUUCAUUACUCUUACUUCCCUUUCUCAUAAUUAAUUCUUCCUUACUUUUAAAUGGCUUUAUUUUGUUCAUACAUUUAUAAGCCACCAUGAAUCAUUAAAUGGCUUAUAAACACACUUUGUUUUACUUUGGUAUCUCAUUGUAAAUUCUAACAGCAUUCUUUAAUCGCUAGGCUCUCCAACGAAAACUGAUAAGUGCUACUGGUUUGUAUUAACUGGAACCUUCAGUUCACCUCUGUGCUCAUAUC